AGGAGUUGGUAUGACGAAUGCAGGUCAAUAUCUAGAAGUAAUUUCACAUCUUAUUCAAAAGGCAAUAACCAAAUAUUCAAACGGAAAACUAGUUUCUAGGUAAACGAUUCAGCCUCGCAAGCAUGUAUUAUAUACACAAAUUAUUCUCACCUCAUAUAAUUUAGAGAAUCAAGCCCUUCGGAGAGUCUGGUUUUUUGUCGCUUGGAGUUGGAGUCGGAGUAGUUGUGGUUGGAGCCGGAGUUGUAGUUGGAGCAGCUUUUGGUGAAUCAGUUGUGUGAAGCUGAGUGUAACCUUGAGCUUCAUUUCUUCCCUGCUCUUCUUCAGCCACUUUCUCCAGCGUUUUCUGCCCGACAUCCCCGGCCGCCUUUGAGACCCUAUUGAAAGCCCCGGUAACCCAUGUAGUGCCAGUUAAGAUGUAUCGGUUUUUCAUGAUGGCCGUUCCUGCACUACUAACAGUCUGCUCAGCAGCAGCAAAAGCUGUCUUAGUCUUCUCAGAGACCUGGAACUUCUGGUCUACUUCCUUCACUUUGUCAUUGACUAUGGUUGCUCCGACAGUGAUUUUCUCACUCAGUCCAAUCUUUUGAUCCAGUGAUGCUACUUUGGCUGAAGCAGUUGAUAUGAGUUGGUGCCUCUCAUCGAAAGACUUUGCCCUGUUAAGAGCAUCCUUCCCUAAGAUAAAACCCUUGGCUAACAUGCCGCUAACAACGUCCUCUGCCUUCUGCGCAGCAGCUGCAACACCACCAGCAGCAGUAUCGCCUUGUGAUGCCUGAAAAAGAGACAAUAUCCGAAAUAAUUCCUCACAAGAAGUUGGAUUUUAAAAAUGAAGAACCAAAAGUUUCCAUACGGUAGAUGCUGCUGCUGAUGCUGGCAGUGUAUAGUUUGGUUCAAGGGCAAUGGUGACUGACUGGUCCACUAUUGUGGCUCCCUGCAGAGGUUCAGAAGGAUUAACACUUUAGACAGGGAAUCACACAUGAAUUCAGACUAAAACAAAUUUGUCUCCUACAACAGACUAGGUGUUUAUUCCUAUAUUCACCUUUCUAUAGUUCAACUAGUUUGACGAAUAGGCAAAGAGAUCAGCCAAAUUCAAUUGAAGGAAAAGAACCCCAAUAAUGAGGAGAAAGGAAGGAAAGCAACAAAGAGGGGAAUUAUGAACUUUCGUAUGGGUAAUCACUUAUUAGACCAAAACAAUUAUGGAUUCAGGAAAGGAGUGAUACUCAGCUGUAAGGAGAAAAAAGAUAGAUACUUUUUAGUCUGUGGGAAUGGUCCAUUUUUGGCUCAGCAAAAACAGUACAUUACAAUAUCAAAGUAUCUUGGGAAAAACAAAAAUGUAACGUCCCAGCAGCAGGGACGCAGGCAGAAAAAUUCGUUGAAUGGGGCUGUGUUUUCUAUAAUUUUGAGUUCAAAAGUUUGAAAAGUUACUUUUUAUGUGAUUUGGUUCAGUGGGAGGGGCUUAUGCACCAGAAUUCGCAUAAAAUAUCAAUAAUUGGACAAUUAUAAGAAGGAAAGAAAGAAAAAAAAUGAUUGGGAGGGAUGUGGCUGCGGCACUGGUAGGUAGUCCAAAUGGUUUUGAUUUGUGAGCAGUUACAUACUGUGUUGCCAGAAAUAUAACAAAUGAAUCUCAUUCCAAAAACUAAACAAAAUCCCACUCGCUUCUAGCAGGUGUGCAUGAAAAAAUUAGGUAGAGUUUCAUAUCAUCUAUGUCCCAAGGAUUUUGAUCAUGCAAAGCCACCGUCAGAUAGAGUGAGGGUAUGGAGAAGUAUACCGAAAGAAGAACAGCAGUCUCUGCACCCUGAGCAUCCUUGAACGUGACAUACGCAGAUUGAGAUCUCUCAUUUUCACUACAAACCAAGCAAAUACUAAAUGAGCAAUGGUAUACAAAAAAUGCCAACCACCAUGGAACAAGAAUCCAAGACUGGAAUCAUAAAGGAGAAACAAUCUAAGGAUCUGUGAUCGAACCUUUUCAUUUCAACAUAUUGAAUUACCCCAGAGAAGGAAAAGAACUCCUGGAUGUCUUGUUCUGUUGCACUCAGCGACACAUUGCUCACUUUCACAGUCCUGGUCUGCCAUGAACAAAGAAGCUGGCAAAGUGAGAGAGAGAGAAGGGGAAGAGGGCAGGGAAUGGUGGAAGGUUGAGAGGAUUUUGCAUAUACAAUUUCAGCUCAAAGUUCAAUAGGUUUAUCCAUGAUAGAUGAUCUCCAUCUCACUCGAAUAAUUGAAUGUAAGAACACAAUAAAAUAUCAGUCCCUACUCCCUAUUGGUUGUACAGUGCAUGUUCAUCAAUUUUGCAGAUUCUUUUUUACUAUAGUAUUGGUGGAGAGAGAGAGAGAGAGAGAGAGUGAGCGAAAGGCACAUAUACACAACNGACAUUAGGGUUCACAAAUGCUUACAUGUUAAUCCAACCGGAAAGACAUACAACACACUAGAAUGUCGUGUCGUGACUUCCUUCAAAAUUUUGAAAAUUUAUGGUGCAUAUAAAUGAGACUCGUCACAAAUAUAAAGAUGUAAUGCUAUAGAAUGGUAUAUCUACUUACCUACUAUUAAAAUAAAAGAUGGUAAAUUCCAAUUAGAAAGAAAGGAAAAAAAGAAAAGAAAAAGGAGUUGGUAUGACGAAUGCAGGUCAAUAUCUAGAAGUAAUUUCACAUCUUAUUCAAAAGGCAAUAACCAAAUAUUCAAACGGAAAACUAGUUUCUAGGUAAACGAUUCAGCCUCGCAAGCAUGUAUUAUAUACACAAAUUAUUCUCACCUCAUAUAAUUUAGAGAAUCAAGCCCUUCGGAGAGUCUGGUUUUUUGUCGCUUGGAGUUGGAGUCGGAGUAGUUGUGGUUGGAGCCGGAGUUGUAGUUGGAGCAGCUUUUGGUGAAUCAGUUGUGUGAAGCUGAGUGUAACCUUGAGCUUCAUUUCUUCCCUGCUCUUCUUCAGCCACUUUCUCCAGCGUUUUCUGCCCGACAUCCCCGGCCGCCUUUGAGACCCUAUUGAAAGCCCCGGUAACCCAUGUAGUGCCAGUUAAGAUGUAUCGGUUUUUCAUGAUGGCCGUUCCUGCACUACUAACAGUCUGCUCAGCAGCAGCAAAAGCUGUCUUAGUCUUCUCAGAGACCUGGAACUUCUGGUCUACUUCCUUCACUUUGUCAUUGACUAUGGUUGCUCCGACAGUGAUUUUCUCACUCAGUCCAAUCUUUUGAUCCAGUGAUGCUACUUUGGCUGAAGCAGUUGAUAUGAGUUGGUGCCUCUCAUCGAAAGACUUUGCCCUGUUAAGAGCAUCCUUCCCUAAGAUAAAACCCUUGGCUAACAUGCCGCUAACAACGUCCUCUGCCUUCUGCGCAGCAGCUGCAACACCACCAGCAGCAGUAUCGCCUUGUGAUGCCUAGAAAAAGAGACAAUAUCCGAAAUAAUUCCUCACAAGAAGUUGGAUUUUAAAAAUGAAGAACCAAAAGUUUCCAUACGGUAGAUGCUGCUGCUGAUGCUGGCAGUGUAUAGUUUGGUUCAAGGGCAAUGGUGACUGACUGGUCCACUAUCGUGGCUCCCUGCAGAGGUUCAGAAGGAUUAACCUUUAGACAGGGAAUCACACAUGAAUUCAGACUAAAACAAAUUUGUCUCCUACAACAGACUAGGUGUUUAUUCCUAUAUUCACCUUUCUAUAGUUCAACUAGUUUGACGAAUAGGCAAAGAGAUCAGCCAAAUUCAAUUGAAGGAAAAAGAACCCCAAUAAUGAGGAGAAAGGAAGGAAAGCAACAAAGAGGGGAAUUAUGAACUUUCGUAUGAGUAAUCACUUAUUAGACCAAAACAAUUAUGGAUUCAGGAAAGGAGUGAUACUCAGCUGUAAGGAGAAAAAAGAUAGAUACUUUUUAGUCUGUGGGAAUGGUCCAUUUUUGGCUCAGCAAAAACAGUACAUUACAAUAUCAAAGUAUCUUGGGAAAAACAAAAAUGUAACGUCCCAGCAGCAGGGACGCAGGCAGAAAAAUUCGUUGAAUCUUGAAUGGGGCUGUGUUUUCUAUAAUUUUGAGUUCAAAAGUUUGAAAAGUUACUUUUUAUGUGAUUUGGUUCAGUGGGAGGGGCUUAUGCACCAGAAUUCGCAUAAAAUAUCAAUAAUUGGACAAUUAUAAGAAGAAGGAAAAAAAGAAAAAAAAUGAUUGGGAGGGAUGUGGCUGCGGCACUGGUAGGUAGUCCAAAUGGUUUUGAUUUGUGAGCAGUUACAUACUGUGUUGCCAGAAAUAUAACAAAUGAAUCUCAUUCCAAAAACUAAACAAAAUCCCACUCGCUUCUAGCAGGUGUGCAUGAAAAAAUUAGGUAGAGUUUCAUAUCAUCUAUGUCCCAAGGAUUUUGAUCAUGCAAAGCCACCAUCAGAUAGAGUGAGGGUAUGGAGAAGUAUACCGAAAGAAGAACAGCAGUCUCUGCACCCUGAGCAUCCUUGAACGUGACAUACGCAGAUUGAGAUCUCUCAUUUUCACUACAAACCAAGCAAAUACUAAAUGAGCAAUGGUAUACAAAAAAUGCCAACCACCAUGGAACAAGAAUCAAGACGGAAUCAUAAAGGAGAAACAAUCUAAGGAUCUGUGAUCGAACCUUUUCAUUUCAACAUAUUGAAUUACCCCAGAGAAGGAAAAGAACUCCUGGAUGUCUUGUUCUGUUGCACUCAGCGACACAUUGCUCACUUUCACAGUCCUGGUCUGCCAUGAACAAAGAAGCUGGCAAAGUGAGAGAGAGAGAAGGGGAAGAGGGCAGGGAAUGGUGGAAGGUUGAGAGGAUUUUGCAUAUACAAUUUCAGCUCAAAGUUCAAUAGGUUUAUCCAUGAUAGAUGAUCUCCAUCUCACUCAAUAAUUGAAUGUAAGAACACAAUAAAAUAUCAGUCCCUACUCCCUAUUGGUUGUACAGUGCAUGUUCAUCAAUUUUGCAGAUUCUUUUUUACUAUAGUAUUGGUGGAGAGAGAGAGAGAGAGAGAGAGUGAGCGAACAGGCACCAAUAUACACCAACAGGAUCGCGCCGCAACAACCUAUCAUGUGCAGAAACAUUCUCAUACAGCGAAAAAUUAAAAUAUUUCCAUAUCUUAGCUCGGACGAUCAAGAUACUUUCCAUUAUUACCAACAGUCCAGGAGCAAAAGAUAUAUCCUAGAUCUCGUAGCUCUCGUUACGAAUAAAUUAAUCAGCUCAUCUAUUAAGCUCAUUGAAACACACCCGCACACACAUAGACAUAUCAAUAAACCUCAAUUAAUUGAAUUAGUGAUAUCCUCAUGUGAAAAACAUCCACAAAUAGAAAAGAAAAACUCAACAAAUCAAAAACCAAUAACGAAAAUAGUUAAUCUCCAUCUCGAUCCAGUUAAGCACUCUGAAUAUAUAUAUAUAUAAUUCGCAAAACCUAAUUUCUAUUUAAUCCUGUUCAACAUCGAUACCACGAAAAAACAGAAAAAGGAGAAGAAAAAUGAAAUAAAAAAAAUACAUAAUGUUACUAGGUAAAUUUGUCUCUGAAAACACUGAAAAAAAAAGUGAAUUAAUCACAUGCAAACAACAGUUAUACUGACCGUCAUUGCCAACGAGUCCGUGCGAUUACAGGAGAGACGUGAGAGAAAUUUGAAUCGCUGAAUAAACUGAAAAAAUCUGGGCGAAGUUCGUGUGAGAGAGGAGGAUAGAGAGAGAAGAGUUGGAGAUGUGAUUAUUAAUUUAUGAGUCUUAGAAAUGAAGGCAGAAAAGUGUUUGGGGUUUCCAGUUUUCUCUACAGUUAAAUUACUGAUGCGACUCUCUCAAAAAGUUUUUCAUGGGAAUUUGAAGGCGCAUCACAAGGAAUUGGACUGAACCGCACAGAAGAGCACCCGCUUUUUGGGCGUCCACGCGUUGCGUCAUCACGUGGAAUUAAACGCUCUACUAAAUCUGCCAUUUUUAUUUUUCUCAAAAGGAAAACAAGCCAAAUUGUUUUUACAAAGGCAAUAUUGAUAUCAAAUCUUCCAUUAUACAUGAAUUUUUUAGGUUAAUAAUACUCCCUCCUUCUCACCUAACUUCAUCAAUUUCUUUUCAGCACAAAAUUUAAAAAAUCAAUAUUUAAUAUUUAAAGUAUAUUCUUUUACCAAGAAAAUAUCUAAAAUGUAUUUAGUACUCCCUCCAUUUCAUAAUAUAUAUCCUAAUUUGUUUCAGCACGAAAAUUUAGAUGAGUAUGAUUAAAUAGUAAUGAAAAAAAUAAUGUAGUCCAUUUUAUUUUAUGAGAGAAAUAGAAUUAAAGUGGAGAUGAUUAAAAUGUAAAAAAUGGUGGAACUCACUUUCUUAUUUUAGAAAGAUAGCACUUAUUGUGGAACGACUCAAAAAGAAAAGUAACUCAAAAAGGGAAAGUAUUGCACUUGUUAUGGGACAAAGGGAGUAAUAAAAUGAAUAAAGUAUGAUGAUGAUAAAAAUAUGCAUCUCAAAAAUAUCGAAGGAAAAUAACGAAGGAAUAGAGAGAUUCCCGACGAACAGCGCUGCUGAGCCCAAAAUAGCGCUUCCAGAUCCCAAUCAGCGCUGCCUUUAACGGAACGAGCCUAAAUUCACGGAGAUGACCUUAUCUCGAAAGAGUCCAAUGUCCGUGGUCAACCAAGUCCGAAGCCAAGAUCGCAAUGAAGAUACGAGAUAAUCAUAAAGAGUCAUAGUCCGAUUAUGACUCAAAUAUGAGUCAUUUUCCUACUAGAAUUCAUCGUUAUUUGCCUAUAAAUACGUGUAAAAUCCUAGUGUAAGAUGAUCGACUAUCAUUGUUCACUUACUUUCAAAGCCUUUCGCUAAAGUAAUACAAAGUUUAACGUUUCAACGCCUUUUCAUGUUCUUGUUACUUUCUGUUACAAAUGUGAUAUUUUUGGGCACAACAAAGUGAAAAGUCAUUCCAUAUGAAGAAAUUGAUCAACUUAUUGGGACGAUCAAAAAAGAAAUAUUGAUCAAGUUAGAUGAAACGUAUACUUAGUUUUUAUCAUUUUUUUAAAAAAAAUCCUUAAUUCACAUUUUACUUAAAAUAAUAUUUUAAUUUCAAGAAAAUCAAUUUAUAACUUUCAUAGUGUGAUUAUAAAAUAAUAAAUUACUUAACUAAAUUCUUAAGUGGAUUCCACCUAAGCAUCAAAUCAAUUUUAAUGCUUAGGUGGGAAAAUAGUUGAAAAUUUUCUCUCUCAUCCAUUUUCUCAACUUUUACAAAUAUUCUUCUCUAAAAUCUGAUCAUCUUAUUCCAGAAUCCAACAAAGUUCGCCGCAUGAGAUAACGCUACAUCCACCAUUAGAGCAUACACAACAAUAGAGCCCCCUUUGGGGGUUCUAAGACUAUGUUUAUCAGCAACCACCCAACAACCCAAUCAUCCAACCGUCUACAAUAUUUAAUUAAUCUCUCUCUCUUCCACAUCACCAACAUUCAUCCCAAUCCAACCACUUCUAUUUUUAUUGGUUUAUCAAUGACCACCCAACCAUCCAACCACAACAUUAUAUAUAAUUAUUUUGUUAUUAUUUUUAAUCAUAAUAAUUUUAGUAAUAUUAAAUAUAAAUUAAAAUAUUACAAAAAAAAUGAAAAAAAAUAUAACAAACUAAUAAAAAUUUAAAUUACGACAAACUAAAAAUAGAAAUUACAACAACCCAAACUCGAAAUAGAAAAAAAACAAUACAUACUAUCAUUUAAUUAUCAUCGCCAAACUUUUGCCUUAUAUGCUCGAUCAAGUCAUGUAAUAGAGAGUUGUGAGCUCCUCUAUUGCGAAGUUGGGACCUAGUUCUGAUAUAGAUCGCUAGGCUUGCAAUCCUAUUCGUAGAGUAUACGAAAUCAUUAGUUUCAUCUCCAUCUUCACUUGGACGAGUAUUCUGUCUUAGUCGAUCUUCGAUGAAUUCUGUAGGAUCAUGAAGUAAGGAUAGUGUUUUCAUCUUCCACUAUCAUAUUAUGCAUGAUGAUGCAAGCAAUUAAUCGUUAUUUUCCCCAUAAUAUCACGAUCCCAAUAAACAUGGCCGUUGAUAAAAGUAAAAAGCGCUUGUAAAACUCCAAAUGCUCGCUCAACAUCUUUUCGGGCAGCCUCUUGAUGUUGAGCAAACAUNUGGUGCUUUCGAAGUUGUGGAGCAGGAAUAGAUUUGAUAAAUGCCGCCCAUUGAGGAUAUAUACCAUCAGUGAAAUAGUAUCCCAUAUCCCUUUCACGACCAUAAACGAUAUAAUUGACUUUUGGUGCUCGAUCAUCCAAGAUAUCAUCAAAAAUAAGCGAUUGAUCAAGUACAUUGAUAUCAUUUCUUGAACCUAGGGUUUCAAAAAAUGCAUGCCAGAUCCAUAGGUUUUGUGAUGCAACUGCUUCCAGAAUAAUUAUUGGCGUCGCGCUUCGUCCUGCAUACUGCCCUGCCCAUGCAGUAGGGCAAUUUUUCCAUUCCCAAUGCAUACAGUCAAUACUGCCCAUCACGCGUGGGAACCCUCGCCGUUCUCCGAUAUGAAGAAAAGCUGCCAUAUCUUCUUCAGUGGGCUUUUUGAGGUACUCAGCUCCGAAAUUGGAAAUGACACCUCCAACAAAUUUGAUGAUUGACUUACGAAUGACUUGGGCUCUCAUUCGUAAGUAUUCGUCAUGCAAAUCGGUUGAGGUGUUGUAUGCCAACACUGCAGUACAUUUUUGAAUUGGAGACAUACCAAGACGGCCAGCUGCAUCAGGGUGUUGUUGAAAAAAUUUAUCGAUAGCGACGAGCCUGUUCAUUAUACGUUCGAACAAAGGCUUUCGCAUGCGAAACCUUGUUCGAAAAUAUUCUGGGGGAUAGAUUGGAUCUUCUAAAAAGUACUGCUCAAACACACCUUCAUGACCUAUCUCACGUUUUCUUUCAAUAUACUGCCCCCUUGCUCUAACGACAUGAUUGGUAGGUUGUACAUAUAGACUUGCGGCAUGGAUGACCACAUCCUCAAUGAUGCGGUCAAGUUGGCGAUUAUGUUCGGCAACGCUUUGUUCCCAUGCUUCAUCAUCGCUAGAAUUUGAAGCAUCAAUAUUUGAACUAUAGGCCAUUUUUUGAAGAUGAGUGUUUUCUAUCUAGAGUAUAGAAGAGAUAAUU
rnacentral:lncRNA from 1 species